rnacentral:lncRNA from 1 species
CCCUUUUAAUUACCUCCUAUUUUUUGGCUUAUUGUCCUUGAUCAUGUUCUCUCUUCUCCUUUCUUGUAGAACUAUAUAUACAUAUUUUUCAUAUCAUACUAUAGGAGCUCAUCACACCACCCUAUGGCUCUCUCUUGUUCAACAGACCCAAUCUGACAUUCUUUCUUUUUCUCUAACGCAUAAUGGGCUCAUAAUUGCAUUCCUUGUCUUGCAGAAAUCAUGAGAGCCUUGCCUUUGCAUCCACCUUUCUUCCUCUUCCUUCUUUCUCUCCCAU